rnacentral:rRNA from 1 species
CCUGCAAAACGAAUCUAAGUUCCCCCUUAACCCUCUUUUUCCUCCCCAGACAAGCCCAACCCAAAUGUGAUAGUUAAGGGCUAUUUAAAGGGGGUACAGCCCCUUUAAAAAAGGACACAACCUCCACCAGCGGAUAACCCCUGUACGCCCAACCCCGUGGGCCUUAAAGCAGCCACCCCCAAAGAUUGCGUCAAAGCUCUAUCAACCAAAAACCCCCAAAACCAAUGCGACUCCCUACACCCACAGCAGGCCAACCUAUAACAAUAGAUGAAUCAAUGCUAGAACGAGUAACCAGGACACUACGUCCCCCCAAGCGCCAGCCUGUAUACCAUUAACAGUAAAACCUCAAUAAUAACCACCCCCACCAUUGAACCCACCCUGUCAACCCAACUCAGGGGCGCACACUGGAGUGAUCAAAAUCUACAAAAGGAACUCGGCAAACCUAAGACCCGACUGUUUACCAAAAACAUAGCCUUCAGCCAAACAAGUAUUGAAGGUGAUGCCUGCCCAGUGACACCAUGUUUAACGGCCGCGGUA